AGAGUUUGAUUCUGGCUCAGGAUGAACGCUAGCUACAGGCUUAACACAUGCAAGUCGAGGGGCAGCAUGGUCUUAGCUUGCUAAGGCCGAUGGCGACCGGCGCACGGGUGAGUAACGCGUAUCCAACCUGCCUUACACUCUUGGACAGCCUUCUGAAAGGGAGAUUAAUACAAGAUGUUAUCAUGAGUAAGCAUUUUCACAUGAUUAAAGGUUUACCGGUGUAAGAUGGGGAUGCGUUCCAUUAGAUAGUAGGCGGGGUAACGGCCCACCUAGUCUUCGAUGGAUAGGGGUUCUGAGAGGAAGGUCCCCCACAUUGGAACUGAGACACGGUCCAAACUCCUACGGGAGGCAGCAGUGAGGAAUAUUGGUCAAUGGACGAGAGUCUGAACCAGCCAAGUAGCGUGAAGGAUGAAGGUUCUAUGGAUUGUAAACUUCUUUUAUACGGGAAUAAACGAAUCCACGUGUGGAUUUUUGCAUGUACCGUAUGAAUAAGGAUCGGCUAACUCCGUGCCAGCAGCCGCGGUAAUACGGAGGAUCCGAGCGUUAUCCGGAUUUAUUGG
rnacentral:rRNA from 1 species